AGGAACUGCAAUUGUCAGGUGAAAUGACACACCAGUGAAGCACGUGCAGAAAGCAAAAAGGAAGAAGGAGCAGUGCAGCCAAUUUGAGUGCCAAAACAUUAUGUCCAUCACCACAAUGGACCCAGAGAAGCUCCUUGUCCCAUCGUUCAAAAGACUGAAAGUUGCCCCGAUGACAGCAAAGCGGAAA